UCAUCCCCAUCUUAUGUGACAAGGUUCGUAACUCUAGCACCAAUAUUUUCAGAUUUAUCUCCCCUUGAACUUAGAAUUUUCCUCAAAAAAUACUAUUUUUAGCUCGACUAUUCGAUAAGAAUAAGUAGAGCUAUUGCAGUCACCCGAGCGUCGGCGUCGGCGUAACCACUUAUGUUAAAGUUUUUGUAAUAGUUCAAAUAUUUUCAAAGUCCAUUGACAUAUGGCUUUGAAACUUUGCACACUUGUUCACCAUCAUGACCCCAACCUGUAGACAGGAGGAGGUAACUCUAUCAAGCAUUUUGACAGAAUUAUGCCCCUUUUUCGACUUAGAAUUUACGUUAAAGUUUUUGUAAUAGUUCAAAUAUUUUCAAAGUCCAUUGACAUAUGGCUUUGAAACUUUGCACACUUGUUCACCAUCAUGACCCCAACCUGUAGACAGGAGGAGGUAACUCUAUCAAGCAUUUUGACAGAAUUAUGCCCCUUUUUCGACUUAGAAUUUACGUUAAAGUUUUUGUAAUAGUUCAAAUAUUUUCAAAGUCCAUAGACAUAUGGCUUUGAAACUUUGCACACUUGUUCAACAUCAUGACCCCAACCUGUAGACAGCAGGAGGUAACUCUAUUAAGCAUUUUGACAGAAUUAUGCCCCUUUUUCGACUUAGAAUUUACGUUAAAGUUUUUGUAAUAGUUCAAAUAUUUUCAAAGUCCAUUGACAUAUGGCUUUGAAACUUUGCACACUUGUUCAACAUCAUGACCCCAACCUGUAAACAGGAGGAGGUAACUCUAUCAAGCAUUUUGACAGAAUUAUGCCCCUUUUUCGACUUAGAAUUUACGUUAAAGUUUUUGUAAUAGUUCAAAUAUUUUCAAAGUCCAUUGACAUAUGGCUUUGAAACUUUGCACACUUGUUCACCAUCAUGACCCCAACCUGUAAACAGGAGGAGGUAACUGUAUCAGGCAUUUUUUUUACUAUCAAGCACUAAGAAUAGUCGAGCAUGCUGUCCUACCGACAGCUCUUGUUUACUGUUAC